rnacentral:rRNA from 1 species
UACGGAGGGUGCAAGCGUUAAUCGGAAUUACUGGGCGUAAAGCGCGCGUAGGCGGUUUUUUAAGUCGGAUGUGAAAGCCCCGGGCUCAACCUGGGAACUGCAUCCGAUACUGGAAGACUAGAAUGCGGGAGAGGGAGGUAGCAUUCCAUGUGUAGCAGUGAAAUGCGUAGAUAUAUGGAGGAAUACCAGUGGCGAAGGCGGCCUCCUGGCUCGACAUUGACGCUGAGGUGCGAAAGCGUGGGGAGCAAACGGG